rnacentral:misc_RNA from 1 species
AAUUCGAUGGCCCUACUAUCUUCGGCAUGAUCAAGAGACACGGUGUCACUCACAUGUGUGGAGCACCUGUGGUGCUAAAUAUGCUAACUAACUCUCCCAAUAAUGAACCACUCAGGAACCCAGUCCAGAUUCUGACCGCUGGAGCUCCACCGCCAGCCACCGUGCUAUUCCGAACAGAGUCGCUGGGUUUCUUGGUGAGUCAUGGAUACGGGUUAACUGAAACGGGAGGACUUGUGGUGUCGUGUGCUUGGAAACCGAAGUGGAACCAGUUGCCACCAAGCGAGAGAGCUAGACUAAAGGCAAGACAAGGAGUGAAGACUGCUGGGUUCACAGAGAUAGACGUGGUGGAUCCGAAGACAGGAGCCAGCGUGAAGAGAGAUGGGUUAUCAAUCGGCGAAAUAGUUCUGAGAGGUGGGUGUGUGAUGUUGGGUUAUCUCAAGGACCCAGAAGGCACGUCAAAAUGUUUGAAAGAUGAUGGUCGGUUCUAUACCGGAGACGUGGGGGUUAUGCACCCAGAUGGGUAUUUAGAGAUUAAAGAUCGAUCCAAAGAUGUGAUCAUUAGCGGUGGAGAGAACAUAAGCAGUGUGGAGGUUGAGUCUGUGUUGUACACCAAUCCGGCCGUGAAUGAGGCAGCUGUGGUGGCUCGACCAGAUGAGUACUGGGGGGAGACACCGUGUGCAUUUGUGA